UUCGCCAGCGCGUCCUGCACCACCGACUCCGCCUUCAAGCCGGUGACGCGCUCCCCGGGCCGGGUCGCUGAAACCAAAUCUGCAUUGGCUUCGAUACUUCUCAUGUGAUUUGAUUGGAGUUCGGAUGUCGCGACUGACCUCUUGGCAACCCAACGGGCGGCGCCUCGGAGAGUCGGAGCCUCGGAGCGGACUAGCCGGCGUGCAUCCUUGGC
rnacentral:lncRNA from 1 species